GAUUAGCCUGCGUCCGAUUAGCUAGUUGGUGGGGUAAGGGCUUACCAAGGCGACGAUCGGUAGCUGGUCUGAGAGGAUGGCCAGCCACACUGGAACUGAGACACGGUCCAGACUCCUACGGGAGGCAGCAGUGGGGAAUAUUGGACAAUGGGGGCAACCCUGAUCCAGCAAUGCCGCGUGUGUGAAGAAGGCCUGAGGGUUGUAAAGCACUUUCAGUGGGGAGGAGGAUUAUUAGGUUAAGAGCUAGAUAAUUGGACGUUACCCACAGAAGAAGCACCGGCUAACUCCGUGCCAGCAGCCGCGGUAAUACGGAGGGUGCGAGCGUUAAUCGGAAUUACUGGGCGUAAAGGGUGCGUAGGUGGUUGAUUAAGUUAUCUGUGAAAUUCCUGGGCUUAACCUAGGCAGGUCAGAUAAUACUGAUUAACUCGAGUAUGGGAGAGGGUAGUGGAAUUUCCGGUGUAGCGGUGAAAUGCGUAGAGAUCGGAAGGAACACCAGUGGCGAAGGCGGCUACCUGGCCUAAUACUGACACUGAGGCACGAAAGCGUGGGGAGCAAACAGGAUUAGAUACCCUGGUAGUCCACGCUGUAAACGAUGUCAACUAGCUGUUGG
rnacentral:rRNA from 1 species